CGUGUAGGCGGCCCCAUUAGUCCGCUGUGAAAGUCCAGGGCUCAACCCUGGAAUGCCGGUGGAUACUGUGGGGCUAGAGUCCGGAAGGGGCGAGUGGAAUUCCUGGUGUAGCGGUGAAAUGCGCAGAUAUCAGGAGGAACACCAAUGGCGAAGGCAGCUCGCUGGGACGUGACUGACGCUGAGACGCGAAAGCGUGGGGAGCAAACA
rnacentral:rRNA from 1 species